rnacentral:rRNA from 1 species
CGCAUCUGUGCAUGCAGCAUAUCAAUAAGCGGAGGAAAAGAAACUAACAAGGAUUCCCCUAGUAACGGCGAGUGAAGCGGGAAGAGCUCAAAUUUGAAAUCUUAAAGGGUUUCCCUUUACGAAUUGUAGUUUAAAGAAGUGUUUUCUGUUGAGGUUUUGGUAAAAGUUCUUUGGAAUAGGACAUCAUAGAGGGUGAGAAUCCCGUAUUUGACCUUUACUUUCAACUUUGUGAUACACUUUCAAAGAGUCGGAUUGUUUGGGAAUGCAGGUCCAAAAUGGGUGGUAAAUUUCAUCUAAAGCUAAAUAUUGGCGAGAGACCGAUAGCGAACAAGUACCAGUGAGGGAAAGAUGAAAAGAACUUUGAAAAGAGAGUUAAACAGUACGUGAAAUUGUCAAAAGGGAAGCGUUUGACACCAGUGUUGUUUUUCUGAAAAUCAAUUAAAGAACUGUUUAUGCUAAGCUGUUUAGACUUUAUCAGCUAUCUGUUUAGUUUUGAGCUUUUCUUUAAUGCACUUUUCAGUUAACAAGUCAACAUCAAUUUCUUUUGCUGUAAAAAAGCUUGAGGAAGGUGGCUUGAGAUUCGUCUUAAGUGUUUAUAGCCUCUUGCCUAUGCAGUCGGAGAGAUUGAGGUCUGCAGCGUAGAUCCUUCGAGGCUAAAUGCAUUUGUGCUAAGUUAUAACAUUUCAUAGACAACUUGUUGACUAUGAUUUGUCUUGUAGCUUACUCGCUUAUGUUAUUUUACCUACGCUUAGGAUGUUGACAGCAGUAUAGACUGU